rnacentral:rRNA from 1 species
GAUGAACGCUGGCGGCGUGCCUAAUACAUGCAAGUCGAGCGAACGGACGAGAAGCUUGCUUCUCUGAUGUUAGCGGCGGACGGGUGAGUAACACGUGGAUAACCUACCUAUAAGACUGGGAUAACUUCGGGAAACCGUAGCUAAUACCGGAUAAUAUUUUGAACCGCAUGGUUCAAAAGUGAAAGACGGUCUUGCUGUCACUUAUAGAUGGAUCCGCGCUGCAUUAGCUAGUUGGUAAGGUAACGGCUUACCAAGGCAACGAUGAAUAGCCGACCUGAGAGAGGGAUCGGCCACACUGGAACUGAGACACGGUCCAUACUCCUACGGGAGGCAGCAGUAGGGAAUCUUCCGCAAAGGGCGAGAGCCUGACGGAGCAACGCAGCGUGAGUGAUGAAGGUCUUCGGAUCGUAAAACUCUGUUAUUAGGGAAGAACAUAUGUGUAAGUAACUGUGCACAUCUUGACGGUACCUAAUCAGAAAGCCACGGCUAACUACGUG